rnacentral:rRNA from 1 species
AUACGAAGGGUGCAAGCGUUACUCGGAAUCACUGGGCGUAAAGCGCGCGCAGGCGGCUAUUUAAGUUGGAUGUGAAAGCCUACGGCUCAACCGUAGAACUGCAUCCAAAACUAUUUAGCUAGAGUGUGGGAGAGGAAGAUGGAAUUAGUUGUGUAGGGGUAAAAUCCGUAGAGAUAACUAGGAAUACCAAAAGCGAAGGCAAUCUUCUGGAACACUACUGACGCUGAGGCGCGAAAGCGUGGGGAGCAAACGGGAUUAGAAACCCCAGUAGUCC